CCGACCGUCCUGCGGACACGCUUCCCCCUUCUUCCUCCUCACCUCUGCCCGCGCGCCACCGCCCUUCUCUGCCACCACCGCUGCCGCCUCCAAACCCUAAACCCUCCGCCGCAACCGAUGGCCGCUCUCAUAUCCUCCUCCGAUGCCUCCAGAUCGCUCUCCAUCAACACAUCCGCGCUCUUCCUGUCCUCCCUUUCCUCGCUCCCUUCGACCGACGCCCACCCAAUCCUCACUUCGGCCUCCACACCGCUCCCGCCCGUACCGGCCUCCGUGCCACCUACCGCGCUCAUUCCGGGCUCGCGCUUCCUCAUCGACGCCUUCCGCCACGCCGGGGACUUCUCUGUCGCCUACUUUCUCUCGCACUUCCACUCCGACCACUACGGCGGCCUAGGACCAUCCUGGCGCCGUGGCCUCGUCUUCUGCUCCGCGCCCACCGCGCGCCUCGUCUCUUCCGUGCUCUCCGUGCCUCCGCAGCUUGUCGUCGCCCUCGAUGUCGGUUUCCGUGUCACCGUCGAUGGGUGGGGCGUCACCGCCGUCGACGCCAAUCACUGCCCUGGUGCCGUGCAGUUCCUCUUCUCCUCCCCUGGACCCCUGGACCGAAUGCCGAGAGGUACGUGCACACCGGUGACUUCCGUUACACGGAGUCCAUGACGCAUGAUCCUAACUUGUUAGAGUUCGUCCGUGCUGACGCUGUGUUUCUGGACACCACAUACUGCAACCCCAAAUUCACAUUCCCCUCCCAAGAGGAGUCUGUGGAUUAUGUGGUGAGUGCGAUCAAGCAUGUGAAAGAGGAGAGUUCAGCGGCAGGAGAGCGUGUGCUGUGUCUGAUCGCGACAUAUGUCGUGGGCAAAGAGAGGAUUUUGCUGGAGGUUGCACAGCGCUGUGGGUGCUCAAUCCAUGUGGACAGCAGGAAGAUGGAGAUUUUGACAGUGUUGGGGUUUGGUGGGGAGAAUGGAGUUUUUACCGAGGAUGCAGCAGUGACAGAUGUGCAUGUUAUCGGGUGGAAUAUCUUAGGGGAGACGUGGCCCUAUUUCCGACCAAAUUUUGUAAAGAUGAAGGAGAUCAUGUUGGAGAGAGGGUACAUGAAGGCUAUCGGGUUUGUACCAACCGGGUGGAUGUAUGAAACCAAGAAGGAAGGUUUUGCUGUUAGGGUGAAAGAUUCACUUGAGAUCCAUCUUGUUCCUUAUAGUGAGCACUCCAGCUAUGACGAGUUGCGAGACUAUGUAAAGUUUUUGCACCCAAAGCGGGUGAUCCCAACUGUUGGAGUAAAUGCUGGAAAGCUCGAUAGUAAGGAGGCAAUUGCAAUGCAGAAGCAUUUUUCUGGGUUGGUAGAUGAGACAGCAAACAAACAGGAGUUCUUGAUGGCAUUUCAUUGUAGGUCAACUAAUGCUAAAUGCUCAAUCCAGAAUGAUGGGGACGAUGCUGCUUUGUUUCCAGCAAUCACUUCUGCUUCCGAACAACUUGAUACUUUGAAGGAGAAUAUUACAGAGGAAAUGAAGAAAGAACUAUCAGAUGUCCUGCCCUCAUGGGUCAGCGAGGAACAGAUCAUGGACCUGCUGAUGAGCUCAUGUGGCGACGUUGUUAAAGCAGCAUCUGAUUUUUUUGAGCGGGAAAGAGAUUUCUUUGAAGAAGCAAAUGGUUCUUGUAGCGGGACACCCAAGUCAGAGAAAAACCAUACUUCUGAUCAUGGGUCUUCUGCUGAUGCGAGUAGUCAGCAAGAAUGUCCUUUGUUUUCGCAGAAGCCUGCGGAACACUCUACAAAACUGGUAAAUUUGACCCCUAUGAGAAUGAAACCAAAUACCCCCAAAAAGGAAAAGAGGAAGGGUUCUGGCAUUACAAACAAACCAAAAAAGAAAGGACGACUAACUUCCUCAACAGAAUCAGGUGGGCGCAAGCAGUCCACAAUUACAAACUAUUUCAUUAGAGCUACAGCCACCACUAGUGGUACAGCUGAUAAAGUAUAUGAUGAGGAACACCAAAAUAAUGUGGAAAGUGACGAUCAGUUAACUGAUAUCGUAAAAACACAAGAUCAGAGUGUAGACCAGAUUCUUCAGAUUGUAGAUGGUUGCAUGUCCAGAGAAUAUGCAGUUUCUUUGCUUGAGAGGGCAAAAGGAGAUGUAACUGUAGCAGUUGAUAUAUUUUACAGUUCAAGUGAGAACAACAAUGUAAUUGCUAUUGAUAAGAAUAUCACGCUGCAGAUUACAGAAAAUGAAACUAAAGAUAAAUGUAGCAAUACAGACCUGGCUUGUGAUUCUUCUCAGGCUACUCAAAAGAUGCCAAACCUACAUGUACAGACUUCUUUAUCACAAACAGAUUCUACCAAGAUAUCGCUGCCAGUUGAGAAGUAUCUACCGAUUGAGCAUGCUUGCUGGACAGCAGGACAACCUGCACCAUACUUGCACUUGGCUCGCACUUUUGAUCUAGUUGAAAAAGAAAAAGGAAAGAUCAAAACUACGGCAAUAUUUUGCAACAUGUUCAGGAGUUUGCUUGCCUUAUCCCCUGAUGAUGUUCUACCUGCUGUUUAUCUAUGCACUAAUAAAAUUUCUCCUGACCAUGAAAAUAUGGAACUGAGCAUUGGUGGGAGUCUUGUUGUAAAUGCUCUGGAGGAGUCAUUAGGAACCAGCAGAUCUAAAAUACAAGAGAUGUACAAAACUUACGGUGAUCUUGGUAAUGUUGCCCAAGAAUGCCGUCAGAAUCAAACAUUACUUGCUCCUCCUCGGCCUCUCUCGAUUCAUGAUGUAUAUUCCAUGCUUCGGAAACUAAGUGUAAUAUCAGGUAGUGGGAGUGCUGGAAGAAGAAAAAUUCUUGUCUUGCAUCUUAUUCGGUCUUGUAGGGAAAUGAAAAUUAAAUUUCUUGUCAGAACACUGGUUCGUAACUUGCGAAUUGGGGCUAUGAUGAAGACAAUAUUACCUGCGCUUGCACAUGCUGUUGUUUUUGAUAGAAAGUGUGCAGGAGAUCCUGUGGUGUCCUUGGAAGGCAUAAAAACACAACUACAGAGUCUUUCAACUGAAGUUGUCGAGGCAUACAAUGUCAUUCCUAAUCUGGAUUUGCUCAUUCCUUCUCUUCUGAGAGAAGGCACUGCAUUUUCAGCUUCAUCCUUGGCAAUGGUGCCUGGCACACCUAUUCCACCUAUGCUUGCAAGAAUUACUAAUGGGUCGACUCAAGCACUGAAAGCUUUUAGUGGCAAAUCAUUUAUGUGUGAGUACAAGUAUGAUGGUCAGCGUGCCCAGAUUCACAGAUUACUUGAUGGAUCUGUGCGAAUAUUUUCAAGGCAAAUGAAAGAAUCAACUCCCAGAUUUCCUGACCUAGUGAACAUGAUUACGGAGUUGUGCAGGUCCGAAGUGUCCAGCUUCAUACUGGAUGCUGAGGUGGUGGGAAUCGAUAGGAAGAAAGGAAAUAAGUUGAUGUCUUUCCAAGAACUAUCUUCAAGAGAAAGAGGAAACAAACACUCCUCAAUUGCGAUCGAUAACAUAAAGGUUGACAUUUGUGUGUUUGUUUUUGACAUCAUGUUCUGUGAUGGAGAGAGGCUACUGGAUUGUCCUCUUCGACAAAGAAGAAAGUAUAUCAACAACUUGUUCCAGGAGAAGCCAGGAUAUUUUGAGUUAGCUCAGCAGCUAACUGUAAAAGCCAGCGAAGCAUCACCAGACAACUCUAGCACUUUGGAUAGAAUGGACACAUUUUUCAGAAAGGCAUGCGAGUCUUCUUGCGAGGGUAUAAUGCUGAAGACUUUGGAUAUUGAUGCUGGAUACUCUGCUUCGAAACGCUGUGAUUCAUGGUUAAAGGUCAAGCGCAACUAUGUGGAAGGCUUAGGUGAUAGCCUUGACUUAGUUCCAGUAGGUGCAUGGUAUGGAAAUGGACGGAAAGCUGGAUGGUACAGUCCUUUUCUUAUGGCAUGCUACAACCCUGAAACUGAAGAAUUCCAAAGUGUGCCGUGUUAUGUCUGGGUUCUCAGAUGAGUUCUAUAAACAGAUGAAGGAGUUUUAUUCUGGGGAAAGGAUAUUGCCCAAGAAGCCCGUUUACUACAAAACAGAUGAGCAACCAGAGGUGUGGUUCACCGUUCACCACAGAACAAGUUUGGGAGAUCCGAGGCGCAGAUCUCACCCUAUCCCCUGUUCACCAUGCGGCCAUUGGGCUUGUCCACCCAUCACGGGGCAUCUCAGUCAGGAUGCCGAGGUACAUCCGCUCUGUUCCAGAUCGGAGCCCAGAGGAUUGCAGCACGGCCACUGACAUCGCCACUGUGUUCAAAGCCCAGACCCGGAAGAUGGAUGUCACCAGAGAGGGCCCGGAGUAGGGAUCCAAGCGAGCGGAUCAGGUCGGCCCAUUGCCUCAUCCUAGCUUUUCUUUUGCUUACCAAUUUUGUAUACAAAAUGAACUACCGGUGAACAACACCACCGGUGAAAUGGCGAAGUGUCACCACCGAUCCCCCUGGCUUCCAAAAUUUCCAUCUUUUUGUACAGAAAUAGAAUAGUUGGAAGCAAAAGCAAAGAUCUUCUGUCUCAUUUUUAGCUGAUAGCAUGUAAAACCUCCAGAUAGCAGCUUUUUACUACAACAAACACCAGCCGAUGGAUCGUCAGGAUUCUGUUU